AUUGAACGCUGGCGGCAGGCCUAACACAUGCAAGUCGAGCGGAUGCAGGGAGCUUGCUCCUGGAUUCAGCGGCGGACGGGUGAGUAAUGCCUAGGAAUCUGCCUGGUAGGGGGGGAUAACGUCCGGAGACGGGCGCUAAUACCGCAUACGUCCUGGGGGAGAGAGUGGGGGAUCUUCGGACCUCUCGCUAUCAGAUGAGCCUAGGUCGGAUUAGCUAGUUGGUGGGGUAAAGGCCUACCAAGGCGACGAUCCGUAACUGGUCUGAGAGGAUGAUCAGUCACACUGGAACUGAGACACGGUCCAGACUCCUACGGGAGGCAGCAGUGGGGAAUAUUGGACAAUGGGCGAAAGCCUGAUCCAGCCAUGCCGCGUGUGUGAAGAAGGUCUUCGGAUUGUAAAGCACUUUAAGUUGGGAGGAAGGGCAGUAAGUUAAUACCUUGCUGUUUUGACGUUACCAACAGAAUAAGCACCGGCUAACUUCGUG
rnacentral:rRNA from 1 species